GUACAUUUUUGUUAUUCCAAAUCGUUUUACACUAUAUUAGAUUUUUUUAAAUCGUUUGAUGUUGUUUCGUAUUAUUCUAGGUCGUUUUAGAAACGAUUCAGUACAUUUUUGGAAUAUUUGGGAUCGUUCUGGUUCGUUUUGAGGACCUAAUUCAUCAAUCUGGAUCAUUCUAGAACGUUGUAGAAACUUCCAGAUCGUUUUUUCAACUGUAUAAGUCGAUUUAUAUCGUCCUGGUACAUUUUUGUUAUUCCAAAUCGUUUUACACUAUAUUAGAUUUUUUUAAAUCGUUUGAUGUUGUUUCGUAUUAUUCUAGGUCGUUUUAGAAACGAUUCAGUACAUUUUUGGAAUAUUUGGGAUCGUUCUGGUUCGUUUUGAGGACCUAAUUCAUCAAUCUGGAUCAUUCUAGAACGUUGUAGAAACUUCCAGAUCGUUUUUUCAACUGUAUAAGUCGAUUUAUAUCGUCCUGGUACAUUUUUGUUAUUCCAAAUCGUUUUACACUAUAUUAGAUUUUUUUAAAUCGUUUGAUGUUGUUUCGUAUUAUUCUAGGUCGUUUUAGAAACGAUUCAGUACAUUUUUGGAAUAUUUGGGAUCGUUCUGGUUCGUUUUGAGGACCUAAUUCAUCAAUCUGGAUCAUUCUAGAACGUUGUAGAAACUUCUAGAUCGUUUUUAGAAUUGUAUACGUCGAUUUAUAUCGUCCUGGUACAUUUUUGUUAUUCCAAAUCGUUUUACACUAUAUUAGAUUUUUUUAAAUCGUUUGAUGUUGUUUCGUAUUAUUCUAGGUCGUUUUAGAAACGAUUCAGUACAUUUUUGGAAUAUUUGGGAUCGUUCUGGUUCGUUUUGAGGACCUAAUUCA